rnacentral:rRNA from 1 species
GACAGAGGGUGCAAACGUUGUUCGGAAUUACUGGGCGUAAAGCGUGUGUAGGCGGUGAGGUAAGUCGGAUGUGAAAGCCCAGGGCUCAACCCUGGAAGUGCACUCGAUACUGCUUCGCUUGAGUACUGGAGAGGUUGGUGGAAUUCUCGGUGUAGAGGUGAAAUUCGUAGAUAUCGAGAGGAACAUCUGUGGCGAAGGCGGCCAACUGGACAGAUACUGACGCUGAGACACGAAAGUGUGGGGAGCAAAC